UCACAGUUAUUAAAAUCAAUAUGCUAGAACUAGAGGUUUUAAACUGACUCCUCUGCAAGUUGAACUUGUUCCAAUCUUUCUUGAAACUCUCGAUCGUGUUUGUCCCGUGUCUCUCGUCCAUACUUCAUCUUUACCUGGUUUGUAUGGUAAUAUUGAGAUUGAUACAUGGGUUUGCACAGGACUUUUAUAGCUUGUUGGGUUAGUGGGUUUGCACGGGACCUAUUUUGUUGGUUUUUAGAGCGCGAGGUAAUGAUUAAGAGGGACAGACGGGGGCAUUCGUACUGUGCCGUUAGAGGUGAAAUUUUGGAUGGGCGCAAGGCUAACGAGUGCAAAAGCAUUUUCCAAGAAUGUUUCCUUUAAUCAAGA
rnacentral:ncRNA from 1 species